rnacentral:lncRNA from 1 species
CGAUUGUGAUUGGUAUCUUUAUCUAAUACGGAGAAGAGUUGCAGCAACACAUAUAUAAGUAGAUAUGUAGAUACAUACGUAGACAAUGAAUUUUAUGUAGUCUAACUAUAUAGAAAGGCAUUAAUAUUUAAGUCAGACUAUAUAACAAAAUCGAUCAUUACGAAGAAUCUCAGGUUAUGGCAAUAAAAUCUCUGCGUAUUUAAAGAUCCAACCGUUUGUAAUUGAAGCUUAGCAAGUAAGGCACAGGUUUAUUUUUUUUUUUUUAGUCAAUACUCAAUAAGCUUAUAGUAUAUACCAAUUUUUUAAUGUAAUGAUCAAUGGCAAAUUUUGUAAUUAGUCUAGUUAAGAAAGGGUUUUUGAAUAUAUGAGGUGAGAGAGCUUGUGGUGCUGACACGUAGGAAAUGACACAUAUGUAAUAAACACAUGAAUGAAAGGUUAGUUAUAUAC